rnacentral:rRNA from 1 species
GACGAACGCUGGCGGCGUGCUUAACACAUGCAAGUCGAACGCAGUGGCGAACGGGUGAGUAACGCGUAAUCAACCUGCCCUUCAGAGGGGGACAACAGUUGGAAACGACUCCUCAUACCGCAUACUGAAGGAGGGGCUUGCGUCUGAUUAGCUAGCUGGAUGGGUAACGUACCACCCAGGCGAUGAUCAGUAGCGGGUCUGAGAGGAUGAACGGCCAAAUUGGGACUGAGACACGGCCCAGACUCCUACGGGAGGCAGCAGUGGGGAAUCUUCCGCAAUGGACGAAAGUCUGACGGAGCAACGCCGCGUGAGUGAUGACGGCCUUCGAGUUGUAAAGCUCUGUUAAUCGGGACGCGGUACCGGAAUAGAAAGCCACGGCUAACUACGUGCCAGCAGCCGCGGUAAUUC